AUUAUGGGGCAAUGAUUACCAAUAUGUCGAAGUGUUUCAAUGGAGUUCUAAAAGGUGCACGUGGACUACCAAUAUCUACAUUUGUUGACUACAUUUGGUGCAAACUUGUCGCCUAUUUCAAUAAUCGGCGUACUAAAAUAUUGGGUGAUAUUACACGUGGUCAAGAGUUCAGUAGUUAUGUCAUGGAGAUCUAUGAAGCAAAUUACAAAAAAGGGAAAAGAUAUUAUGUGAGGCCAUUUCACCAGUAAAAUGGUGUAUUUCAAGUUUGCACAACCUAUAAUCCACACAGCUUUGAAGGGGGAGACCAUAGUCAUGAAGUAAGGUUACAAGAUAACACGUGUACUUGUGGCAAAUGGGAAAUCUAUAAGAUCCCUUGUUCACAUGUAUUUGUAGUUUGUAUCAGGGAACGUAUCAAUGCAACAGAGUAUAUUGACCCUUGUUAUAGUUUACAAGAAUGACUUGCCACUUAUUCACAUUAUUUUUGUGUGCCCAAGGAUAAGUCACUAUGGCCGGAGGUUGCUGGCCCAAAGUUGUACCCUGACCCCAAUAUGUUACGAGACAAAGAUCGACCUAUGACAACAAGAAUAAGGACUGAGAUGGAUUGGAGGGAGAGUCAACCAAAGCCGAAAUGUGGAGUGUGUCAUGAAGAGGGUCAUAACCGCAGAAGAUGUCCAAAUGUGAUUCCUUCAUCAACAAGCAGUCAUGUUCCUAACUAGUAUUAUUCUGGAGACAAAUGCAAAUGUUAUAGUGGGUAAGGUUGUACCUAUUAUUUUGGAGCUCCCUUAUGCAAGAGAAAGGCAAACAUUGGACAACGCAUGUGAACAUCUGGAAGAAUAUUGGAUAUUGAAUGUAGAGGGCAAAGGAGGGACCAUCUUUUUGUAUUUUGCAGUUCCUUUGAACUUUUUGGCAUAAUUUAUUCCUUGCAUCCUUAGUUUAUUUUAUCUCCAUGUCAAAGUGUUGGUAACUUGUUGAAUUUACAUUUUUCUUGUAAACUUGAUUAAUUUGGACCUCCAAUGUUAUUGAAGGUGGUCUAGAUGAAUUUUUGUUAAAGGUUCUGACUUUUGGAUAUGAAGUUACC